CCCCUGUGGACAGCUGUGCUAUUUGCCUGCUUUGUUUUUUUCUCUCUCUUACCUCUUAUUUCCCUGUUCUCUCCACCAAUGCAUUCAGAUCCCCGGGAUGGAGUGCGCUGAUACUGCUGCGUUCUUCCUGCACCAACUGUCCGGGCGGCUCAGCAUGUUCUACAGAACAGCAUGCCUUUGGGAAUGCUUGGAGUAUGUAGCCUGACAGCAAGAGAACACUGCGCUCUUCUGGCUAUUUCUCAACAUGUCAGAGGGACAGGAGUGUGCUCAGCCUUGUGUGGUUGCACGUAUGCAAAAAUCCCUAUCGCAGCUGUAAACAUCUUUGUUGUUCUGCUUUACAGCAGUAGUGUGUGACGAGAAGCCUACCACUAUCAAUUUAGAGGAGUGCACGGAAGCUUUUGGGCAUGAUUUAUCCUCACUAUACCUCACACUGGGUGGGAAAAGUUGGCACUGGAUCUCACAUAGCAGCUUGUAACAAAGCUCUUGCGCAAUAAAGAAGCAUUUCAACCGCUGCUUCUUGCAGCAGUACAGUGUUUCCAAAGAGAGAAAAACACCACUACUGGCAUAAACUGGAUUUCUGCUGUUGGUUGAGCAUGUGCAGUGGAAUUGCCAGGUCACAGCCUGAGCCAGUACGUGAGCACAUGAGUGCCUGGAGCUGGGGGAGCCUAGAUCCACCCUUCCUCUUUCUCCGUCCCAGCAGUGCUUCUGGGAGCGCGUACGCAGUCAGUCCGCAGGGGUCUCCUCAGCCCCCCCCCACGCCCCCCCAGGCCCGUCCCCCCCUUCUUCCAGCGAUCCAGAUUUCAAAGCGGAGAAGGCUGUGUUCCUCAGCUCACCCCUUUCUUCCAAACUCUCGCUCGGAGGGGUGAGUUGAUUGCUCUUUCUUUGAUAGCUUGUCCUAUAGUGCCUAGAUCUCAAAGAAAGGCUCUGUCAUUGCCCUUGUUUGCUUUACAGCAUGUCAGAGGUCGGUCAUUGCUAGGAAAGCUUGUGCUUUAAAGCACCAGGUUGUAUAGAGAAGGUAAUUCUAAAAGCGAGCUUGCCAGUUCUUUUUUACCUAAGUGGUUUUUGAGCAAGGAAAGAUUGGAGAUGCUGUUUGCUCAUGGAAGAUGGAGAGGAGGAAAAGCAAGUAAGACGCAUGCUGUGCAUAGCCACUGCAUGCCACCUGCACCAUUUCCCCCCUGAACAAAGGAGGAGCAGCUCAGCGAGCGUGGCCUGGGCCAUCGAAGGGAACAUCCAAACAUCUGGACCAACACCAAAUGGCUUAAUUCCGUAUGUUCGUUGUUUCUCUGUUGUUUGUCUCACAUCCUUCUGGAAAGAAAGCAGGAGGAGACAGACCUCCAAUUUGAUCCUGUUGUGUGUGAUGAUUACGGCCAAGGGGCAGAAGUUGGUGCUUAGGCAGGGGUAAAGCUGGGAAAGCUAAGCCUCGUCGAGGAACGAGAGAUUAAAGUAGAGCUCAUUCUACAUGGCUGUUCAGCACGUUGAAGGUAUUUAUCGUGCAGCAGGAUCUGUCUGGCUGCAGGAACAUGGUCGGAUACGUUGUUUCCAGUAGAAACUCAGUAAGCAGCGGCUGUGUGUUUAAAGUGCUGAUUGUAAUGGACUUCUGCCGAGGUGAGUGGGGGCUCAGCGUGUUGCUCAGUGGUAGGUUUGGUCAUUUUCAGUGCUGACAGGAAACGUGCAUGCAAGGAGUGACCAGAAGGGUUGGAGCCAGGGUCCGCCCCUUCUGAGACCCCCUUGAAGGGCUGGCAGUGGAGGGGCAAGGGUAUGUCGCUGGAGAUCCCUGCAUACCUGAAACCUGCUGAAGUUAGGCAGCUUCUUUCCUUUCUUUCUCUGCCCACAGCUUUUGCAUGUGAGCAAAUCCUCACUUGCUGCAGCCUAGGACCUUGCUGUCAUUGCUGCGCUUUCCAUCACGUUGCAGUACCCAAGCAGGAGGCUUACUUCUCUCCUCCUGCACGGGCACAACCACUUCAAAGCAUCUCUUAAGAGAGAGAUUACUUUGUUCAACCAGUACUGGCAGCAAAGUUAUCACUUGCGAUCACUGAGCCAUUUCAGCACAUUUUUUUAAUAGGUAAAAAGUAUCAAGGGAAGAUUUCUGCCUUUACCUGGACGAACCUGUCCACCGUGUUCUGGGUCAGGCCUUCUGACUUCUUCUGGCUUUGCUUAUCCUAUUGAACAAAAUUUAAACAAAUAAAGAAUGAGAAAUAAAAAUAGGUGGAAG